rnacentral:rRNA from 1 species
AUUGAACGCUGGCGGCAUGCCUUACACAUGCAAGUCGAACGGCAGCAUGGGUGCUUGCACCUGAUGGCGAGUGGCGAACGGGUGAGUAAUGCAUCGGAACGUACCCGGAAGUGGGGGAUAACGUAGCGAAAGUUACGCUAAUACCGCAUAUUCUGUGAGCAGGAAAGCGGGGGAUCGCAAGACCUCGCGCUUCCGGAGCGGCCGAUGUCGGAUUAGGUAGUUGGUGGGGUAAAGGCUCACCAAGCCAACGAUCUGUAGCUGGUCUGAGAGGACGACCAGCCACACUGGAACUGAGACACGGUCCAGACUCCUACGGGAGGCAGCAGUGGGGAAUUUUGGACAAUGGGCGCAAGCCUGAUCCAGCCAUUCCGCGUGCAGGAUGAAGGCCUUCGGGUUGUAAACUGCUUUUGUACGGAACGAAACGGUCUGCCCUAAUACGGCGGGCUAAUGACGGUACCGUAAGAAUAAGCACCGGCUAACUACGUG